UGCCUCAGUAACGGCGAGUGAAGCGGCAACAGCUCAAAUUUGAAAUCUGGCGUCCGCCCGAGUUGUAAUUUGCAGAGGAUGCUUCGGGGCCGCGGCCGAUCUAAGUCCUUUGGAACAGGGCGUCAUAGAGGGUGAGAAUCCCGUAUGUGACCGGCUGGCACCCCACACGUAGCUCCUUCGACGAGUCGAGUUGUUUGGGAAUGCAGCUCUAAAUGGGAGGUAAAUUUCUUCUAAAGCUAAAUACCGGCCAGAGACCGAUAGCGCACAAGUAGAGUGAUCGAAAGAUGAAAAGCACUUUGGAAAGAGAGUCAAACAGCACGUGAAAUUGUUGAAAGGGAAGCGCAUGCAACCAGACUUGUCGGCGGUGUUCCCCCGGUCUUCUGACCGGGUCACUCGCCGCCGGCAGGCCAGCAUCGUUUGCGACCGCCGGAGAAAGGCGCGGGGAAUGUGGCUCCUCGGAGUGUUAUAGCCCCGCGCACAAUACGGUGCGUCGCGAGCGAGGUCCGCGCUUCGGCUAGGAUGCUGGCGUAAUGGUCGUAUGCGGCCCGUCUUGAAACACGGACCAAGGAGUCUACCAUCUAUGCGAGUGUUCGGGUGUCAAACCCCUACGCGCAAUGAAAGUGAACGGAGGUGGGAACGCAAGUGCACCAUCGACCGAUCCUGAUGUCUUCGGAUGGAUUUGAGUAAGAGCAUAGCUGGUGGGACCCGAAAGAUGGUGAUCUUUACUUGAAUAGGGUGAAGCCAGAGGAAACUCUGGUGGAGGCUCGCAGCGGUUCUGACGUGCAAAUCGAUCGUCAAAUUUGGGUAAAGGGGCGAAAGAC
rnacentral:rRNA from 1 species